UUUCCGUAGGUGAACCUGCGGAAGGAUCAUUAGUGAAUACGAGGUGCCGAUUUCGAUCGACCUCAUAUCCCAUUUUAACACUGUGCACUGUCAAUUUUUGACGCGAGACUAUGUAUGAAUGUCGGAUGACCAUAAAUAAAAAAUAACAACUUUCAGCAACGGAUCUCUUGGCUCUC
rnacentral:misc_RNA from 1 species